rnacentral:rRNA from 1 species
AAUAUCUGCCUUACCACCUUCAAAAUGCCCAGUCUUGUGUAAUUCUUGAAACUAAGCAGGGCUGGGCCUGGUUAGUACUGGGAUGGGAGACUGUUGGUGAUAUCAGGUGUCAUAGUG